UGGAGGUAAAAAUUUAAUCCCCGUUUUACAGGUGAGUGAAGUGGGAUAAAAUGGCAUAAUUCACUCAAGAUCAUAAGCUAUUGAGUAGCAAAGACAAGAGUUAAGCAUAAAGUACUCAAGAACCUGUGUUUUACAUUCUAUCUGAAGUGCAAAGAAGAAUACCUGAAUGUCAAAUGCAGCCAGAACUCUGGGAUAAGACCCGAGGAACAAGUCCUGCAGCAGCAGUGCUAGGAGGCAGAAGAGGACCAUGGUUCACAUGCUCAGGAAGAGCCAUCAGUAACAACAAUCAACCACCUACUGAGACUCUGCCAUGGUCUCCCCGCUAUAGGGUAAGGUGGGUGCACUCUACCACGCCUGGCUAAUUUUUGUUAUUUUAGGUUUCG
rnacentral:lncRNA from 10 species